UACGUAGGGACCAGCGUUGUCCGGAAUCAUUGGGCGUAAAGCGCGCGUAGGCGGCCCGGUAAGUCCGUUGUAAAAAGUCGAAGGCUCAACCUUCGAAAGCCGAUGGAUACUGCCGGGCUAGAGUACGGAAGAGGCGAGUAGAAUUCCUGGUGUAGCGGUGGAAUGCGCAGAUAUCAGGAGGAAUACCCAUAGCGAAGGCAGCUCCGCUGGGACGUUACUGACGCUGAGGCGCGAAAGCGUGGGGAGCGAACAGG
rnacentral:rRNA from 1 species